GCAUAUCAAUUAGCGGAGGAAAAGAAACCAACCGGGAUUGCCUCAGUAACGGCGAGUGAAGCGGCAAGAGCUCAAAUUUGAAAGCUGGCUCCUUCGGGGUCCGCAUUGUAAUUUGCAGAGGAUGCUUCGGGUGCGGCCCCUGUCUAAGUGCCCUGGAACGGGCCGUCAGAGAGGGUGAGAAUCCCGUCUGGGAUGGGGUGUCCGCGCCCGUGUGAAGCUCCUUCGACGAGUCGAGUUGUUUGGGAAUGCAGCUCUAAAUGGGUGGUAAAUUUCAUCUAAAGCUAAAUACUGGCCGGAGACCGAUAGCGCACAAGUAGAGUGAUCGAAAGAUGAAAAGCACUUUGAAAAGAGAGUUAAAAAGCACGUGAAAUUGUUGAAAGGGAAGCGCUUGCGACCAGACUCGCCUCCAGGGUUCAGCCGGCAUUCGUGCCGGUGUACUUCCCUGGGGGCGGGCCAGCGUCGGUUUGGGCGGCCGGUCAAAGGCUCCCGGAAUGUAGUGCCCUCCGGGGCACCUUAUAGCCGGGAGUGCAAUGCGGCCAGCCUGGACCGAGGAACGCGCUUCGGCACGGACGCUGGCAUAAUGGUCGUAAACGACCCGUCUUGAAACACGGACCAAGGAGUCUAACAUCUACGCGAGUGUUCGGGUGUCAAACCCGUACGCGCAGUGAAAGCGAACGGAGGUGGGAGCCCCCUCGUGGGGCGCACCAUCGACCGAUCCUGAUGUCUUCGGAUGGAUUUGAGUAAGAGCGUAAAUGUGGGGACCCGAAAGAUGGUGAACUAUGCCUGAAUAGGGCGAAGCCAGAGGAAACUCUGGUGGAGGCUCGCAGCGGUUCUGACGUGCAAAUCGAUCGUCAAAUUUGGGUAUAGGGGCGAAAGACUAAUCGAACCAUCUAGUAG
rnacentral:rRNA from 1 species